rnacentral:rRNA from 1 species
UACGUAGGGGGGCUAGCGUUGUCCGGAAUCAUUGGGCGUAAAGAGCGUGUAGGCGGCUCGGUAAGUCCGCUGUGAAAGUCCAGGGCUCAACCCUGGAAUGCCGGUGGAAACUGUCGAGCUAGAGUCCGGAAGAGGCGAGUGGAAUUCCUGGUGUAGCGGUGAAAUGCGCAGAGUAUCAGGAGGAACACCGAUGGCGAAGGCAGCUCGCUGGGACGGUAGCUGACGCUGAGACGCGAAAGCGUGGGGAGCAAACAGG